rnacentral:ncRNA from 1 species
GCCCGAAAGGGUGCUGGUUGGAAGCCAAGAAAAAGACCAGCUAAAAGGCGAUACCGUUGGUACGCGGUAAGUGAACACACACUUGGUAAAAAAGUGAAA